rnacentral:rRNA from 1 species
ACUCCUACGGGAGGCAGCAGUGGGGAAUAUUGCACAAUGGGCGCAAGCCUGAUGCAGCGACGCCGCGUGGGGGAUGAAGGCCUUCGGGUUGUAAACUCCUUUCGCUAGGGACGAAGCUUUUUUGUGACGGUACCUAGAUAAGAAGCACCGGCUAACUACGUGCCAGCAGCCGCGGUAAUACGUAGGGUGCGAGCGUUGUCCGGAAUUACUGGGCGUAAAGGGCUCGUAGGUGGUUUGUCGCGUCGUCUGUGAAAUUCUGGGGCUUAACUCCGGGCGUGCAGGCGAUACGGGCAUAACUUGAGUGCUGUAGGGGUAACUGGAAUUCCUGGUGUAGCGGUGAAAUGCGCAGAUAUCAGGAGGAACACCGAUGGCGAAGGCAGGUUACUGGGCAGUUACUGACGCUGAGGAGCGAAAGCAUGGGUAGCGAACAGGAUUAGAAACCCUGGUAGUCCCAUG